rnacentral:ncRNA from 1 species
UUUCAUUGUCAGAGGUGAAAUUCUUGGAUUUAUGAAAGACGAACCACUGCGAAAGCAUUUUCCAAGGAUGUUUUCAUUAAUCAAGAACGAAAUUUGGGGGCUCGAAGAUGAUCAUAUACCGUCCUAGUCUCAACCAUAAACGAUGCCGACUAGGGAUCGACGGAUGUUUCUCUAAGGACUCCGCCAGCACCUUCUGAGAAAUCAGAGUGUUUGGGUUCCGAGGGGAGUAUGGUCGCAAGGCUGAAACUUAAAGGAAUUGAUGGAAGGGCACCACCAGGAGUGGAGCCUGCGGCUUAAUUUGACUCAACACGGGAAAACUUACCAGGUCCAGACAUAGUAAGGAUUGAUAGAUUGAGAGCUCUUUCUUGAUUCUAUUGGUGGUGGUGCAUGGCCGUUCUUAGUUGGUGGAGCGAUUUGUCUGGUUAAUUCCGAUAACGAAUAAGACCUCAGCCUGCUAACUAGCUACGCGAAGGUUCCCCUUCACGACCAACUUCUUAGAGGGACUAUGGCUGUUUAGGCCAUGGAAGUUUGAGGCAAUAACAGGUCUGUGAUGCCCUUAGAUGUUCUGGACCGCACGCGCGCUACACUGAUGUAGUCAACGAGUUUUUCUCCCUGGUUCGAGAGGAUCGUGAAAUAUUCUCAAAUUGCAUCGUGAUGGGGAUAGACCAUUGCAAUUAUUGGUCUUCAACAAGGAAUUCCUAGUAAGCACGUGUCAUCAGCUUGUGUUGACUACGUCCCUGCCCUUUGUACACACUGCCCGUCACUCCUACCGAUUGAAUGAUCCGGUGAAGUGUUUGGAUCGCGUCAACGAGGGUGGUUCACCGCCGACGAUGUCGUGAGAAGUUCACUAAACCUUAUCAUUUAGAGGAAGGAGAAGUCGUAACAAGGUUACCGUAGGUGAACCUUUGGUAGGAUCAUUG